UGACGGCCAUGUCAGUUUAAAACACCGGUUGCCGUACGACCACCAAAGUUAAGCAAUGUCAAUACUGGUCAGUACUUAGAUGGGUGACCACUUGGGAAAACCGGCUGCUGUAA